AUGUCGUCUGAGGAGCAACUGAGUUUUGGUGGAGAUGUGACCACCGGGAGAGGUCUGUCUCCUUUAUGGUGGUUCUCCUGCAUUUUGGAACUCCCUUUCAAGAAAAGCUUAGGCUUGUAAUGGGAUCCUUAGAUGAAAAUGCUGCCAAUUCAACAGCACAUUGUGGCAAUUCGAGCAACGAUUCUUUAAGGAGAAAGGAACAGCAGUAGCCAUGCAGCAGCAACAGCAGCGACAGAAUGACUGACUCAGAUGGAUGAUGCUGGUGGAACAUUAAAGGCAAGUCACUUACUGUUCCCACAAGGGAAGGAAAUCUGAGCUGAUCUCAUCCUUGAAUGACAGAAAUCAGAAUCUUAGAAAUCUGCGUAGCUGCCACAUUUUGGACCUGCUGACAUUUCUGUACUGUUUCCAAGGGCAGCCCUACAUAGAGAGCACCACAGUAAUCUAUUUUUUGAGAUUAUCAAUGCAUGGACAACUUUUACUAGGCAUUUCUUGUAGGGGUGCAACUGGAUAACCAAAGAGUGCUGAUGAAAAAACAUUCCUGGCCAUGGAUGAUAUCUGAGCCUCCACAGAGAAUGCUGGGUUCAGGAGUACCUCGGGCUGCAGACCUCAUCCUUCAGGGGGGGUGUAACUCCAUCAAGGUCAGAGUGAAGAGGAAAGCUCACCCUUGGAGCAAUUUGCACUUGAUCAAGCCUGAAACAAGACUUCAUUUCAGCCCAGGACCUGAUUUGAUCUGUCAAUAAUCCUGGCUCCUCUUUCCUCUCUCCCUUUUGUGCUGGGACCUUUUGGCUGCCUGGGGUUUCCAGACGUUGAGAGGACCUGACAGAGCUGUGGACAAGCGGGCGGAGGAGAGCGAUCCAUCUCUCAUCCUUAAUCACUCUCUGCUGGACGCAAACUUUUUGCUUCACAUUACCGGAGAGAAAAGCAGCUUUUCCUCAGUCAGGCUGAGGACAGAAUUAAAGUGAUGCUGACAUUUUAAAAGAUAAGGGGGAGUCUGGCUGUUUCCAGCCAUGGUUUCAUCUGAUACGGGGCUGCACAUCAACAGACAGCAGUCAUUGUUAGUGAGAUUUUUGCAGCUGUCGGGUGAAGGAAUCACUGAGACGACUUUCUUUCUUGCAUAGUUAUUAUGCAUCUGGAAGACCUCUAAUUCAAUGGUUCCCAACUUUGGGUAACCUACGUGUUCUAGGACUGCAAUUCCCAGAAUCCCCGGGAUGCACAGUUGGUGGCGAACACUUCUAGGAAUUGCACUCCAAGAACAUCUGGGCUACCCAAGGUUGGGAACCACUGCUCUACAUCCAGGACUCUGUUGGUGUUAAACGAAUGAUGGACUGCAAGAGAAGGGAAUUAAACAUCAAGUGUUGCUAAGCUCAUUGAAAUACCAUCUUGAGGUCAAGGAAGCCAGAGAAGCUGUCAAGCUUGUUCAAUGAAAUUGAGUAGGUAGUGGCCACAGGGAAUCCAGAGCUUGGAAAAGUUACAUUUUGAAGUCUCCAAAUUCCAGCUUCCCCCAAGCCAGCAUUCUCUGGCUAUCAAAAAAGACUACCAAGCGCCGUGUUAUGUUUUCCAUUGGUAGACCUGAUCCGUUUUCAUGCUAAGGAGCCUCUGGAGUGGGGAUGAAUUUCUGCCUCGGGUGACCUUGUGUGCAUCUUUAAGCAAAGCGGUGCAUGACCCCAGCCGGAACAACUGCUGUGGAAUGACGCACCUAUGCCCUACGGUGACCCUCAGCUCAUCACAGGCAGCUUCCACCAUCAUUAGCGUUCAUAACAAGCAAGCAGGCACUGCUUAAAACCCAACCACGGUCAAUGACUCUGUGACCUCAGGUGGCCAGAUAGACUUACACCAUGCUGCAGGAUUCUCUCUACAUUUCGCUCCAAAGUAUACCUGCUAUUAGCUUUCAUCAGGCAGAGGGUCAAGGAGCUUUUUACGAUGACAAACACAUUCUGCACUGGAGACAUUUUUGAAAUAAAUAAGCUA